UGAGUAAGACAAAUGAUCGCGGUUGCCUUCGGGCAAACGAGGAAAGUCCGAGCUCCGCAGGGCAGGGUGCUGGGUAAUACCCAGUGGAGGCGACUCCAAGGAAAGUGCAACAGAGAGAUACAGCAUCCUGGAGGCUGGAGGUUAAAAACCCAGCUUCCAGCAUGUGAUGGUGGAAAGGUGAGGUAAGAGCUCACCAGCAUCCAGGCGACUGGAAUGGCUAUGUAAACCCCAUCCGGAGCAAGACCGAAUAGAGGACAUAUUUGCGGUUGCCCGCCGCGUCCUGGGAAAGGUCGCUUGAGCCUGUUGGCAACAACAGGCCUAGACAGAUGAUCAUUCACGACAGAACUCGGCUUACGGCUUAUCUCACUUU
rnacentral:RNase_P_RNA from 1 species